GAUGAACGCUAGCGAUAGGCUUGACACAUGCAAGUCGAGGGGCAGCAUGGUCUUAGCUUGCUAAGACUGAUGGCGACCGGCGCACGGGUGCGUAACGCGUAUGCAACUUGCCUCACAGAGGGGGAUAACCCGUCGAAAGACGGACUAAUACCGCGUACACUUGGAGGGAGGCAUCUCCCAUCAAGGAAAAGAAAUUCGCUGUGAGAUAGGCAUGCGUCCCAUUAGCUAGUUGGUGAGGUAACGGCUCACCAAGGCAACGAUGGGUAGGGGAACUGAGAGGUUGAACCCCCACACUGGUACUGAGACACGGACCAGACUCCUACGGGAGGCAGCAGUGAGGAAUAUUGGUCAAUGGGCGAGAGCCUGAACCAGCCAAGUCGCGUGAAGGAUGACUGUCUUAUGGAUUGUAAACUUCUUUUGUAGGGGAAUAAAGAACGGUACGUGUACCGUAGUGAAAGUACCCUACGAAUAAGCAUCGGCUAACUCCGUGCCAGCCGCCGCGGUAA
rnacentral:rRNA from 1 species